rnacentral:rRNA from 1 species
GAUGAACGCUGACAGAAUGCUUAACACAUGCAAGUCUACUUGAAUUUGGGGUUUUUUAACUUCGAUUUGGGUGGCGGACGGGUGAGUAACGCGUAAAGAACUUGCCUCACAGCUAGGGACAACAUUUGGAAACGAAUGCUAAUACCUGAUAUUAUGAUUAUAGGGCAUCCUAGAAUUAUGAAAGCUAUAUGCGCUGUGAGAGAGCUUUGCGUCCCAUUAGCUAGUUGGAGAGGUAACGGCUCACCAAGGCGAUGAUGGGUAGCCGGCCUGAGAGGGUGAACGGCCACAAGGGGACUGAGACACGGCCCUUACUCCUACGGGAGGCAGCAGUGGGGAAUAUUGGACAAUGGACCGAGAGUCUGAUCCAGCAAUUCUGUGUGCACGAUGACGUUUUUCGGAAUGUAAAGUGCUUUCAGUUGGGAAGAAAAAAAUGACGGUACCAACAGAAGAAGUGACGGCUAAAUACGUGCCAGCAGCCGCGGUAAUACGUAUGUCACGAGCGUUAUCCGGAUUUAUUGGGCGUAAAGCGCGUCUAGGUGGUUAUGUAAGUCUGAUGUGAAAAUGCAGGGCUCAACUCUGUAUUGCGUUGGAAACUGUGUAACUAGAGUACUGGAGAGGUAAGCGGAACUACAAGUGUAGAGGUGAAAUUCGUAGAUAUUUGUAGGAAUGCCGAUGGGGAAGCCAGCUUACUGGACAGAUACUGACGCUGAAGCGCGAAAGCGUGGGUAGCAAACAGG